AAACACGCAAUUAGAUAUUAGGAUAUGGUGUAAUAACACAUCAUGAGGAUCAAACCAACGCUAACCUACCGACGACCUUGUGGCCAGUUUUGUCUUUUAAACAGCCCUAAUGUAUAAAGACUGGCUAGCGGCAAUCGGGUUCACUUACCGGGUGGUAGCAACACGCUUACAAGACUAAUUGCUUGUUACCUUCGGCCACACGCGUGUGGUUCUGCUACAGCGCGAGGACGCGGUAUCGACGAUAAAUUUACAAUCCCUCGCUUUGUGAUGUAAUAGGGGCGGGGACCGGCAUUCGAGAACAACAACAAGAGAGAGAAUAAAGCGAUCGCGGUAACAUCAAAGUAGUUGAAAAACAUUUACGCAUAAUGGGUUUACAACUUCUGCAGAUCGCUGCAGCGUCGUGGUGGCGAUGGCGUUUAUCUUCGAUUGUAAUAUAGAACUGACCACGUACAUAGCACGCAUUGUGUAGUACGUGGGUCUUUAUUACGUUACAGAAGCUUUAUUACGUUUAUUUGUUUGCUAACAGUGGGUCUUGUUUCCUGUGUGACGUGACAAUCUAAACUCGACAUUUCUUCCAAAACCAGCCAACCGUAACGAUAUAACAUCAUGAUCAAGUGUAGAGUCGUGUUACAUCGCGUCGUAUCUUCAAAAUCACAAGUAAUUGGCCGGAAGCGUUCUCUAUGACGUCAUAAACCCUUCCCGCAUUCCCCGGGGGUCAUUAGAGUUUAGAUAAAUCUUAGCGGGAAUAUUGUUUUCAAAGUGGCGAAAUAUUGUACACGAAGCUAGAGUUUGGUAUAAGCUAUUCUCAAUAUAACUAAGUUAAUUUAUACUGGUUUGUGGGUUUAGUAGCCACGUUUUUAUUUGUUUCUUUUACCACUGUCGUUUUGCUGCUAAAUUCUCUUCUCUUUGCUAAAUAAUUAGCCCUAUCUUCGCUUUUGUACUCGAAGAGAUACAAAAAUAACGUUAUAUCCUUUUAAAUCAUUAGUUACAUUUGUACACUUUCUUGACCCAUAUAAUUACAUUUAAACAUUUUUCACGUUAGUUUUUAUAUAUUUUACGAAAUUCCUUUUUUCCUAGACCUAUACCACGCCUACCCUAAGUCGACCGAGUUCAAAAAGAUAAAAUUCCUGCGAUAAUUCGAAAGCGCUGAUAAAGUUCGCACAUUCUAAAAUACCGUAAUCUUAAACAGGCUUCAUACACUGCAAUGCAAGAAUAACUAUACUCUGUGCAAUACUGAGAUACAGCGUACAAUAAGUUCAACUAUCCGCUGGUUUGUUUAUGUCCGAAACAGCGUCAUUAUAACGAAAGCAUUGUAUCUUUUAUCGUUGCCAUCUUACCACCUAAACUAAACUAAAACAGCAUUGUUAAUUGUUAAAAAACUGGAUUAUGAAUUAUACGACAUUAUGCGCUAAAGGUAUCCAUCUUACCCCACAGUAAUAUACAUUGUUUUUUAAAAUACAUACUCGCUGUUGAAAAAAUACACUCGCUGUCACCUU